CCAAACUUGGUCAUUUAGAGGAAGUAAAAGUCGUAACAAGGUUUCCGUAGGUGAACCUGCGGAAGGAUCAUUAUUGAAUAAAUUUUGGCUGGGUUGUUGCUGGCUUUUUUAAGAAGCAUGUGCACACACAGUCCAAUCUUUUAAAACCCCAUGUGCACCCUCUGUAGAUCUGGAACAAUUCAAGUUUUUUUUUUUUUAAAAAAAAAAAGAUCUUGGUUUUUUAGAAUUGCUAUAGCUUUUCUUAUGUUUCAGAUCUAUGCUUUUUAAUAUACACUCCAAUGAUGUAAUAGAAUGAUGCAACAGGCCAUUGAGCCUUUAAACAAAAUAAUACAACUUUCAACAACGGAUCUCUUGGCUCUCGCAUCGAUGAAGAACGCAGC
rnacentral:misc_RNA from 1 species